rnacentral:rRNA from 1 species
UAACAGGCUGAUACCGCCCAAGAGUUCACAUCGACGGCGGUGUUUGGCACCUCGAUGUCGGCUCAUCGCAUCCUGGGGCGGUAGUACGUCCCAAGGGUUGGGCUGUUCGCCCAUGAAAGCGGUACGCGAGCUGGGUUCAGAACGUCGUGAGACAGUUCGGUCCAUAUCCGGUGCAGGCGUUAGAGUAUUGAGAGGAGUUCCCCUUAGUACGAGAGGACCGGGGGAAAUACACCGCUGGUGUACCAGUUAUCGUGCCAACGGUAAACGCUGGGUAGCCAAGUGUAGAGUGGAUAACUGCUGAAAGCAUCUAAGUAGGAAGCCCACCUCAAGAUGAGUACUCUCACCGCUAUAAGCGGGUAAGAUCACGGCAAGAACAGCCGUUAUAUAGGCACCAAGUAUAAGUACAGCAAUGUAUUCAGCUGAGGUGUACUAACAGAUCGA